rnacentral:rRNA from 1 species
GAUGGACGCUGGCGGCGUGCUUAACACAUGCAAGUCGAACGAACCUUCGGGUUAGUGGCGGACGGGUGAGUAACGCGUGAGAAUCUGCCCUCAGGAGGGGGAUAACGGUUGGAAACGACCGCUAAUACCCCAUAUGCCUACUGGUGAAAUGAAUUUCGCCUGAGGAUGAGCUCGCGUCUGAUUAGCUAGUUGGUGAGGUAAUGGCUCACCAAGGCUUCGAUCAGUAGCUGGUCUGAGAGGAUGAUCAGCCACACUGGGACUGAGACACGGCCCAGACUCCUACGGGAGGCAGCAGUGGGGAAUUUUCCGCAAUGGGCGAAAGCCUGACGGAGCAACGCCGCGUGAGGGACGAAGGCCUCUGGGCUGUAAACCUCUUUUCUCAAGGAAGAAGAUAUGACGGUACUUGAGGAAUAAGCCACGGCUAAUUCCGUGCCAGCAGCCGCGGUAAUACGGGAGUGGCAAGCGUUAUCCGGAAUUAUUGGGCGUAAAGCGUCCGCAGGCGGCUUUUCAAGUCUGCUGUUAAAGAGUGGAGCUUAACUCCAUCAUGGCAGUGGAAACUGAAAGGCUUGAGUAUGGUAGGGGCAGAGGGAAUUCCCGGUGUAGCGGUGAAAUGCGUAGAUAUCGGGAAGAACACCAGUGGCGAAGGCGCUCUGCUGGGCCAUUACUGACGCUCAUGGACGAAAGCCAGGGGAGCGAAAGGGAUUAGAUACUCCUGUAGUCCUGGCCGUAAACGAUGAACACUAGGUGUCGGGGGAAUCGACCCCUUCGGUGUCGUAGCUAACGCGUUAAGUGUUCCGCCUGGGGAGUACGCACGCAAGUGUGAAACUCAAAGGAGUUGACGGGGGCCCGCACAAGCGGUGGAGUAUGUGGUUUUAAUUCGAUGCAACGCGAAGAACCUUACCAACCCUUGACAUCCAGUGGAAGUUUUAGAGAUAAAACUGUGCCUUUGGGAACACUGUGACAGGUGUUGCAUGGCUGUCGUCAGCUCGUGUCGUGAGAUGUAUGGUUAAGUCCAGUAACGAGCGCAACCCUUGUCCUUAUUUGCCAGCACUUCGGGUGGGAACUUUAAGGAGACUGCCGUGAAUAACACGGAGGAAGGUGGGGACGACGUCAAGUCAUCAUGGCCCUUACGGGUUGGGCUACACACGUGCUACAAUGGGAGAUACAGACGGUUGCGAAAGCGCGAGCUGGAGCUAAUCCUACAAAGUCUUCCUCAGUCCGGAUUGGAGUCUGCAACUCGACUCCAUGAAGUAGGAAUCGCUAGUAAUCGCGAAUCAGAAUGUCGCGGUGAAUACGUUCUCGGGCCUU